rnacentral:rRNA from 2 species
GCGGCAGCUUACACAUGCCGUCGAUUCAUCCUUCGGGGUGAGUGGCAGACGGGUGAGUAACACGUGGGAACGUGCCCUCCGGUCUGGGAUAACCCUGGGAAACUAGGGCUAAUACCGGAUACGUGCUUUGGCAGAAAGGUUUACUGCCGGAGGAUCGGCCCGCGUCUGAUUAGCUAGUUGGUGGGGUAACGGCCUACCAAGGCGACGAUCAGUAGCUGGUCUGAGAGGAUGAUCAGCCACACUGGGACUGAGACACGGCCCAGACUCCUACGGGAGGCAGCAGUGGGGAAUAUUGGACAAUGGGCGCAAGCCUGAUCCAGCCAUGCCGCGUGAGUGAUGACGGCCUUAGGGUUGUAAAGCUCUUUUCUCCGGGACGAUAAUGACGGUACCGGAGGAAUAAGCCCCGGCUAACUUCGUGCCAGCAGCCGCGGUAAUACGAAGGGGGCUAGCGUUGCUCGGAAUCACUGGGCGUAAAGGGCGCGUAGGCGGGUUUAAGUCGGGGGUGAAGCCUGUGGUCAA